CAUCUUCACUUCUUGCUUGUUUAGAGCACUUUUUGCCCUUAAUCUGGUCUUUAGCAAGUCAAACACAUGUUCAGUCUGUC